CAAGGGCACUGGCAAUCUGGCAUAGCUGCAAGCCAGAUAUAAACAACUGCUCUUCUAAUCAACUUGAUCUAAUGCAAGGCUUUAGAACACAAUUUCUAAGAGCAAUGAGUGUAGCUUCAAUUUCACGAGUAGAUUCUAAUUUAUGAAUGAUUUUGUGUAGUUUAUUUAUCACAAUGAUUUUGACUUUGUUCUUGCUCUUGCCACCACAUCUCCUUCAUUGCAUGAACUGACUUGAUGAUUCCCUCUCAUAAGGUAUUCGACAAGAUCGACAAGAUUCGUUGCGUGUGACCGACUUGAUGAUUCUUUUUGGAAUUACUUCCUGAGUCCUUUUUUUGUGGUUGACAUAGAGAGCUGCAACGGGAAUUAAACGCAUUAAU